CCAAUAGCGUAUAUUAAAGUUGUUGUGGUUAAAAAGCUCGUAGUUGAACCUUGGGCCUGGCUGGCCGGUCCGCCUCACCGCGUGUACUGGUCCGGCCGGGCCUUUCCCUCUGUGGAACCCCAUGCCCUUCACUGGGUGUGGCGGGGAAACAGGACUUUUACUGUGAAAAAAUUAGAGUGCUCCAGGCAGGCCUAUGCUCGAAUACAUUAGCAUGGAAUAAUAGAAUAGGACGUGUGGUUCUAUUUUGUUGGUUUCUAGGACCGCCGUAAUGAUUAAUAGGGACAGUCGGGGGCAUCAGUAUUCAAUUGUCCGAGGUGAAAUUCUUGGAUUUAUUGAAGACUAACUACUGCGAAAGCAUUUGCCAAGGAUGUUUUCAUUAAUCAGGAACGAAAGUUAGGGGAUCGAAGACGAUCAGAUACCGUCGUAGUCUUAACCAUAAACUAUGCCGACUAGGGAUCGGACGGUGUUAUUUUUUGACCCGUUCGGCACCUUACG
rnacentral:rRNA from 1 species